rnacentral:rRNA from 1 species
CACGUAGGGGGCAAGCGUUGUUCGGAAUCACUGGGCGUAAAGCGCACGUAGGCGGCUUCUUAAGUCAGGGGUGAAAUCCUGGAGCUCAACUCCAGAACUGCCUUUGAUACUGGCAACCUAGAGACUGGAAGAGGUUAGUGGAAUUCCCAGUGUAGAGGUGAAAUUCGUAGAUAUUGGGAAGAACACCAGUGGCGAAGGCGGCUAACUGGUCCAGCACUGACGCUGAGGUGCGAAAGCGUGGGGAGCAAACAGG